GAUGUAACUUUUCUUAAGAUUUAUUUAUUAUUUGAGAGAAAGUGCAUGUGCAUGUGCACGCACACACGUGGAGGGAGGGGCAGAAGGAGAGGAAGAGAGGAAAUCCCAAGGAGACUCUGCACUGAGGGCAGAGCCUGACAUGGGGCUUGAUCUCACCACCCUGAGAUCAUGCCCCGAGCCAAAAUCAAAAGUUGGACACUUAACCACCCAAGCCACCCACGUGCCCCUACACACAACUUUUCAAUGCAAUUGGGUAUGUUGGAGCACAACUGCUGGAUUGCAUAGUAAGAAUAUAUUUACUUUUGUAAGAACUACCAAAUUGUCUUCCAAGGUGACUGUACCAUUUUGCAUCCCUGUCAGCAAUGAAUGAGAAUUUCUAUCACUUUUUAUCUUUGCCAGUUUUUGGUAUUAUCAGUUUCGUGGAUAUUAGCCAUUGUAAAGGUAUGAAGUGAUAUCUCAUUUUAAUUCACAAUCCCCUAAUGGCAUGGUAUUGAGCAUCUUUGAUAUACGUAUUUGCAAUCUGUAUAUUUUCCUUGGUGAUGUGUCUGUUCAGAUCUUUUGCCCAUUUUUGAAUUAGGUUUUUUUUCUUAUUAUUGAGUUUUAAAUACUCUUUGCAUAUUUUGGGUACCAGUCCUUUAUCAAAUAUGUUUUGCAAAUAUCUUCAGUCUGGAGAAGUGGCUUAUCUUUCCAAUCUCCUAACAUUUUUCCACAAAGCUGAAGUUUUAACUUUUAACAAAGUCCAAUGGAAUCAUUUUUUUCUCCUAUGGAUUUUUUUUAAAGAUUUUAUUUACUUAUUUGACAGAGUGUGCACAAGCAAGGGGAGUGGCAGGCAGAAGGAAAGGAAGAAGCAGGCUCCCUGCUGAGCAGAAGCCCAAUGUGGGGCUCGAUUCCAGGACCCUAGAAUCAUGACCUGAGCUGAAGGCAGGCGGUCAACCAACUGAACCACCCAGGUGCCUCAUAUGGAUUGUGCUUUUAGUGUUGAAUUUAAAAAUUAACUGACAAACCCAAGGUCACUCAGAUUUGCUCUUAUGUUAGAUUCUAUAGUUUUGUACUUUAUACUCUAAGAUACAUUUUGAGUUAGUUUUGUAACAAGCAUAAGGGCUGAAUCUAGCUUCACUUUUUUUGUAUAUGGAUGCCCAAUUGUUCUAGCACCAUUUGUUGAAAAGAUUAUCCUUUCACCAUUGAAUUGCCUUUACUCUUUUGUCAAAGAUCAGUUGACUACAUUUGUGUGGGUCUAUUUCUGAGCUUUGUUCUGUUUCACUGAUCGAUCUGUGUAUUUUUUCACCAAUGUGACACUGUCUUGAUUACUGUAGAUCUAUAUGGUAGGCCUUAAAGUCGGGUAGUGUGAAUCCUCUGAAUUCACAGAGUCUGAAUUCACAGAAUGAAGACUUCAUUCUUCUUCAGUACUGUGUUGGCCAUUCUGGGCCCUUUGCCUUUUCAUAUAUUAAGUUAGGUCGUCAAUAUGAAAAAAAAAAGCUUACUGGGUUUUCAUUGGGAUUAUGUUGAAUUUAUAGAUGGAAUUAGGGAGAACUGACAUUUUAAAAAUAUUUAGUCUGUCUAUCCAUGCACACGAACUCUCUUCUACAUUUAUUUAUAUCUUUGAUUCCUUUCAUUGGAGUUUUAUAAUCUUCUUUAUAUAAAGCUUAUACCUAUUUUGUUGGACAGAUGCCUCCACAUUUCAUUAUUUUUGCUGCUAAUGUAAAUGGUAUUGUGUUUCCAACUACUCAUUGCUGGCAAUGGAAAGCAACUGACCUUUACAUACUAACUUUAUAUCCUGUGACCUUCUUAUAAUCACUUAAUAUUUCCAGAUUUUUUUGGUCAAAUUUCUGGGAUUUUAUACAUAGACAGCCAUGUCCACCAUGCACAAAGACAGUUUUAUUUAUGCCCUCCCCCUGCAUAUAUAUAUACUUUUCUUUUCUUACUGAAUUAACUAGAACUUCAGUCCAACGUUGAAUAGGAGUGGUGAGAGGGGACAACUUCACAUAUUCUUAACUUAAGGGGGAAAGUAUCCAGUGUCUCUCCAAUAAAUAUGAUGCUAACCAUAGGAUUAUGGUAAACAUUCUCUAUCAAUGUUUGAGAAUGUUCCCUAUUAACCAUAAGUUGAAAGUUUUUAUAAUGAACGGGUGUUGGAUUUUGUCAAACGCUUUUUC
rnacentral:lncRNA from 1 species